rnacentral:lncRNA from 1 species
AUGCAUUUUCACUGUCAUGUUCGUCUGCUGACCAUCUCCUUCCUGACACGGAGAAAGGGGAUGAUGGCCUGGAUCUCUCAGGGCUUGGAGAAGGUCGUUCCUCAGCCUGAGCUGAAGAGCAAAGAGCCCACAGCAGCGGAGCAGCCUCAGGUACGUCCACCUGAAGCUCCUCCCUCCAACUGUCACCUGAGAACAACCAGGGAGACCUGGUGGUACUGUCCAAUUUGGGGUCUAAACCAACUGAUGUGGUUCUCCCCCUGAGGGGGUCAAAUGUGGAGAAGGCGCUCCACCUCACUGGCCUUAGAACCCGUCAUCCCGGUCCGCCUGUCGGUUCGGCGUUUACCAGCUGGGCUAACUGGUUCUGAUUCAUUUCUGCGCUUCAGGCAGAAGAACCAGAAUUUCCAGACCAGUCACCCAUUGGAUUCAUAUUUGGGGUGACAGCUCUAUUCAGGCCAAACUCCAGGGCUCUUAUCGCAACUGGGUGGUUUUUGAAAAUAUUUCCAGUGAAAUGGUGGUGUUGAAUCUUUCCCGCCAUGACUCUUUUUCCUUUCCGACCGUGGUCAGAAGCGUGGGGGCCGAAGGCGGCUCCUCCUUCAGGGUUCACUUCCCCGUUCGGACCCUCAGAUUCUCCAGAGCGGGUUAAUUAAGAGACAAUAGCAUUUCUUCUGGGGGAAACCUUCUUUUAUUACCGUUCUCCUUCCUCCUUAACACACAACAUGAAUGCGCGCCCCCAUUGCCCCCCCUCAUUCCCUCCUGCGCUCUCUCCUCUCUCUUACACACACACACGCGCGGCCCCAGCACACACACAUCCCCAUUCCACAGCAGUGGGGACAGAUGAUCCUGGCUCCAAUGCCUUCUUAAAAUGAGAAGAUUGUAAUUGUGCUGCUCCUUUGUGAAAAUAAAUGUAAUAAUGCAAAAAGAGCUCCGCUGUUAUUGAAAUCCAUGUUAACGUUAGCUACUACCGCAAACAACAAGUGACGUCGUUCAACAUUGAGUACUCUUCUGCGCAUGCGGGUCACUUCUGGGUCACACGGUCCCACAGGAGAUCACAAAAGUUCACAUUUAAUUGGAAAUGUGAACGGCCUUGCAAAAAAAUCAAUUUUUUUCAAUAAAUCUGAGUUGAGCAUUAAGCCCUGCAGUUUAACUUAGCCUAAAUGUGCUGGGAGGGAUUUCUGUGUCAGUCUCUAAUGUUCAUCUGACUAAAAGGGGGCGGAGUCAAGGAUUUUUUUGCGCUGCCAUUUUAUUGGUUGUUGGUUGUUUUUAAUGAUGUUUUUAUUACAAACUGUUAGAAUAACAUGGGGGGGGGGGGAUAUGGGCGUGCUGAGAGUUCGGGGUGUCAUAUCCAUCCAAGCCCCUAAAAUACCAUCAUUAUAUCAGUUCACCUGUCCAGGUUUUUGUGUCUCAUAGUUUUAGGAUGAAUGCUCUUCCUGACUCUACCUGCUGCAUUUACCGGGCUUUGGACAGGUACAAUCAGAACACUGGUUUGUGCCCUGUUGAGGCUACAUUCAUCUUUUUUCUAUGUCUGUCUGCCCGUCCAUCCUUACAUUUUUUAUUUUAGUUUUUUGUGGUUUUACUGUAAGUUUAACUCCAUCCUGCCAUGAUAUUUUAUUGACUAAAACCUGAAUUAUAAUCUGAUUUAUUUUGCUGACGAUACAACAAAAGGAACCAAAAAAAGCCUGACGAGGUGACGAUCUGUUCAAAGAUGAGUUUGUACCGACUUUCCCUUAACGUGUUUGUUUGUCCUCAGGUGCGUCAGACAGCGCCUCCUGCAGGUGAGCUCAGAUGAGACUCGAGCUUCAGAAACUGCUCACCUGGUCAAAGGUGAAUUUCCUCUCCUGGUUUCUGUUUUUCACCUGCAGAAUCUCAGGUCACAGCGAAGGAGGCGGAGAGCGACCAAAGUGAGAAGUUAGGCCCGCCCAGGUGAGGGUUUGGUUUGUCAUGAGUUCUUCAGACAUGAGCGGCACAGAGAGGCUGUGAUGUUAUGAAGCAGACAAUCCGUUUGCUCUCCUGUGAUUGGAUGAUGCUGGCUGUUGGUUUGUAGGAUGAUGGAGUGGAUCAAACAUGGAAUCGAGAAGGUGGUUCCUCAUCCGGAGAGUCACUCCACCAACGAGAAGACUGAAGCUAAAGGUGCUUCUACUUCGCUGUUGAGAGUCACUGAUGAUGAUGAUGAUGAUGAUGACCUUCAAUUCCACUCGUGGUGUCUUUUGUUUGUUUCAGUGAUCAAAGUUCUGGCUUCGGCUCCAAAACCUCCCUCAGAGACAGAGUGAGUGACGUAUUCAGUGAUCUGUUGUUCAUUUGUCAUCGAUGAAGCAAAAAAACUCAAAACCACCAAAGUUCUGCUCAACGUCCAGAAUUUCUCUGCAGGUUUCUUUCAGACAAACAAACGUAGUUUUUUGACGUAGACGUGCUUAACUGGUCAGCUGCAGGCGUCUUCAGGAGGGUCACAUGAGCAUUUAGAUGUGUUGUUGUUGGUUCUUCUCCAGAACCAUGGUCAGGAACAACAACAUGGUCAGGAAGACCCGGAAGCGAGUCGGUUCAGAAUGAAGGCUAACGCUUCUUAAAGCUGUCUAUCCGUCCAGAUCUGGUCCAGAUUCCAGCUCAGACCAGGAAAACAAAGACGUUCAUGGAUCUGUUGGUCUGACAGUGGAGGAUCAGAAUGGGGCGGAGCAGGACGCCUGUGGCCCACAGAGUCUAGCUUUUUUAAACGACACUCUUUUGUCUGCUCCUGAUUUACAACAAUCUGAAUGAAGACAUCCUCGGAAAUAUAUUUUAAGCCUAAUUUUCUUUAAAUAUGUCAUCCAUCAUCAGACAAAUGCUACAAGAACAUGUUAAAAACACCACUAAACACAUUUUUCAUGGGAGUGGUUUUAAAUAGUUCAAUAAUCUUCAUAGUGUCUGUAUUAUUAACUAACUUCUUCUGUUCUUUUUCACGUACCUGACAUGUUUUGGCGGACGUCUUCCGUCUUUAAAACAUGUCAGGUAUGUUGAAACACAACCGUGUCUGAUAACAGAAGAUGUCAGUGGUCUUUAUAGUCCAACUGACCCGGAGAACAGAAUCCUGUAAGAAUGUGACCUGGAUAAAGGAGAACCUUCACUGGAGGAUGAUGCAGUAAAAUUUCUUCAAGGAUUACAACUUUUUCAAGUAAAUGUAGAUUAUUUAUGUCCAUAUCUGUAUUUUGGCCUUUUGCUAACUACAGUAAUAAACAACUGACCAAGAAACCUGAGGGUCUUCAGAGUCGCCAGCGUUCAUCUGAACCUGUUCCACAUCCUUGUGGGUGAAAGUUCUUGAGUAGAGGAUGCAGAGAACCGCAGGCCCAGCUUAGUGGUUCUGAGGUUUGAGGAGCCCAAAAGGAGGAAACUAGGAUGUAGAAACAAAGAACAGAAGGACGCUUCCAGCUGUGUCGCUCGUCUGAAAGGAUUGUUCUCUUCUCCUCUCAGGCUCACCAAUGAAGCAGAGCAGCAGCCAAAGUAGGUGGAACUGUUCCUGUCUCAUGAAGUAAAUGCAGCUCCAGAAGCUUCACUGACAGCAUGGUUGGGUCUGCUGAGCGUCCGGUCAGGGAUUCAAACCCCUGGCCGGACACUCGUCGUGACUUGAGGCUUAACGCUUUACUUUAUGUUGGUCUGAUGGUGGAGGCCCUCUUGGUGGAGGAGAGGACGGCCAUUGGGCGGAUGGUUAGACGGGGCGGGGCCAUUCUCCACCUUCAGCUGUUUCUGUUUGCAGAUUUUUAGGAUAUUGAUU